rnacentral:rRNA from 1 species
AAACUUUCAACAACGGAUCUCUUGGUUCUGGCAUCGAUGAAGAACGCAGCAAAAUGCGAUAAGUAAUGUGAAUUGCAGAAUUCAGUGAAUCAUCGAAUCUUUGAACGCACAUUGCGCCCGCCAGUAUUCUGGCGGGCAUGCCUGUU